rnacentral:siRNA from 1 species
AGGGAUCAGCCGGCAAUUAAGCUC